rnacentral:rRNA from 1 species
GACGUAGGGCGCGAGCGUUGUCCGGAUUUAUUGGGCGUAAAGAGCUCGUAGGCGGCCCGGUAAGUCCGCUGUGAAAGUCGGGGGCUCAACCCUCGGAUGCCGGUGGAUACUGUCGGGCUCGAGUACGGAAGAGGCGAGUGGAAUUCCUGGUGUAGCGGUGAAAUGCGCAGAUAUCAGGAGGAACACCUAUUGCGAAGGCAGCUCGCUGGGACGUUACUGACGCUGAGACGCGAAAGCGUGGGGAGCAAACAGG